AGAACGAACGCUGGCGGCAGGCUUAACACAUGCAAGUCGAACGCUCGUAGCAAUACGGGAGUGGCAGACGGGUGAGUAACGCGUGGGAACAUACCCUCCGGUUCGGAAUAGCUCAGGGAAACUUGGAUUAAUACCGGAUACGGCUGAGAGGCGAAAGAUUUAUCGCCGGAGGAUUGGCCCGCGUUCGAUUAGCUUGUUGGUGAGGUAACGGCUCACCAAGGCGACGAUCAGUAGCUGGUCUGAGAGGAUGAUCAGCCUCACUGGGACUGAGACACGGCCCAGACUCCUACGGGAGGCAGCAGUAGGGAAUAUUGGACAAUGGGCGCAAGCCUGAUCCAGCCAUGCCGCGUGGGUGAUGAAGGCCCUAGGGUUGUAAAACUCGUUUCGGCGGGGACGAUAAUGACGGUACCCGCAGAAGAAGCUCCGGCUAACUUCGUGCCAGCAGCCGC
rnacentral:rRNA from 1 species